rnacentral:lncRNA from 1 species
UAGCUCUCUCUAGGGUUUUCAGUGUGUCCUUCUUCAUGUGUGUUCCUCAUUCUUUAUAGUGGGUCGACGCCGUGAUUUUCAUAACCGUUCCACGAUUUCCGGGACCUCGAGGUUUCCGUCUCAAGCUCGUGUGCUGGUUGUGGGCUCUAGUUCGUUACGGCCCACAUCCAUGACUGUGGCCCAUUAAUGUCCUGACUGAAAUUGAGUCCAACACUAAUUACAAAGAAAAACUGAAAAUAUAGACCAACGUUUGAACCCGUGAAGCAUGGGGCAUUGAGG